rnacentral:rRNA from 1 species
CUCCUUUGACGUUAGCGGCGGACGGGUGAGUAACACGUGGGUAACCUACCUAUAAGACUGGGAUAACUUCGGGAAACCGGAGCUAAUACCGGAUAACAUUUGGAACCGCAUGGUUCUAAAGUGAAAGAUGGUUUUGCUAUCACUUAUAGAUGGACCCGCGCCGUAUUAGCUAGUUGGUAAGGUAACGGCUUACCAAGGCAACGAUACGUAGCCGACCUGAGAGGGUGAUCGGCCACACUGGAACUGAGACACGGUCCAGACUCCUACGGGAGGCAGCAGUAGGGAAUCUUCCGCAAUGGGCGAAAGCCUGACGGAGCAACGCCGCGUGAGUGAUGAAGGGUUUCGGCUCGUAAAACUCUGUUAUUAGGGAAGAACAAAUGUGUAAGUAACUGUGCACAUCUUGACGGUACCUAAUCAGAAAGCCACGGCUAACUACGUGCCAGCAGCCGCGGUAAUACGUAGGUGGCAAGCGUUAUCCGGAAUUAUUGGGCGUAAAGCGCGCGUAGGCGGUUUCUUAAGUCUGAUGUGAAAGCCCACGGCUCAACCGUGGAGGGUCAUUGGAAACUGGGAAACUUGAGUGCAGAAGAGGAAAGUGGAAUUC